GUUACUCUCACGCGCCAGUCUGGGUUCAGAUCAGUUCUGUUCUCUGGUCUCCCGAGGCCCUGGGUUUAUGGGGUCCCCCAGACAGAAGCUUCCCCGCCCCCAGCGGGUCUCCACUGAAUCAGCGGCAGGAGUCCUGGAUGAUCCCCCGGUCGUGCGGCCCCUCCCCCUCCUUCCCGACAUGGGCAGCAGCGAUCGCAGACUCUAGGGGAGGGAGCGAUGUUCUCUCCUACCGUUCCAGCCCUCCGAGGCCUUCUGCAAGGUUUAUGAUCUCCGCCUUCUUGCUCGCUGCGGGGCGACAUGGAGAGAAGACACAGGGGACAAGGAGCGUUUCUUUUUCUUCUGUGAAGAUCACAUCUCAAGCCACUACAAACAGCAAGUUUAGGAAUAGAGAUUGCAGAAAUUAUUCAUCAUCUUACUGUCCCUGUAUUUCCAAGUGACACUAAUUUAAUAAAGUCACUUAAAUAUCUAAGCUAAAAAACUUAAUGUUUACAUUGGCA
rnacentral:lncRNA from 1 species